ensembl:lncRNA
GUGUAGUUGUAGUUGUAGUUGGUGCUGGUUUAGGUGGUGUUGUAGUUGGUGCUGGUGUAGGUAGUGUUGUAGUUGUUGCUAGUGUAGGUAGUGUUGUAGUUGGUGCUAGUGUAGGUAGUGUCGUAGUUGUAGAUGGUCCCAGAUAAGGCAGGGUUGUAGUUGUAGUUGGUGCUGGUGUAGGUAGUGUUGUAGUUGUAGAUGGUCCCAGAUUAGGCAGGGUUGUAGUUGGUGCUAGUGUAGGUAGUGUUGUAGUUGGUGCUAGUGUAGGUAGUGUUGUAGUUGUAGAUGCUGCCAAAUUAGGCAGGGUUGUAGUUGUAGUUGGUGCCAGAGUAGGCAGUGUUGUAGUUGGUGCUGGUGUAGGUAGUGUUGUAGUUGGUGCUAGUGUAGGUAGUGUUGUAGUUGUAGAUGGUGCCAGAGUAGGCAGGGUUGUAGUUGUAGUUGGUGCUGGUGUAGGUAGUGUUGUAGUUGUAGAUGGUGCCAGAGUAGGCAGGGUUGUAGUUGUAGUUGGUGCCAGAGUAGGCAGUGUUGUAGUUGGUGCUGGUGUAGGUAGUGUUGUAGUUGAAGUCUGUGUUGGUGUAGGUGGUGUUGUAGUUGCAGUUGUAGUCGGUGCCUAAGUAGGUGGUGCUGUAGUCGGUGCCUAAGUAGGUGGUGUUGUAGUUGCAGUUGUAGUCUGUGCCUAAGUAG